rnacentral:lncRNA from 1 species
AUAAAUUUCAGGUUACAUCAUUAUAUUUCGACUUCUGUAUAGACAACAUUGUAUUCACCACCAGAAGUCUAGUUGCCAUCUGUCACUAUACACAUGUGCCCAUUACUCCUUUUGCUCUCCCCCCCAUUUAGCCUCUGAUUUGAAAAGAUAUCUGUACCCCUAUGUUCGCUGCAGCAUUAUUCACAAGAGUCAAGACUCGGACACAACCAAAGUGUCCAUUAACGGAAGAAUGAAUAAAGAAGAUGCGGUGUAACUGGAAGAAAGGAAGUGUGAAAUCAACAAGACGAAGAGAGAGUUUCACACUUCAAUCCUCAAAUCCUCGGCCUCUAUACCACAUAAUGCCUCUGGGUCAAAUCUCAGCAAACUGAUAAAUUGCCUUCCUUACUUCCAUGACUGGGCACCACUCUGUCCCUGCUCUUCUCAUUCAACUACAUACCACCUAAUAAGGAGAUGGGGAAUAAGCAAGGGGCCACCAGGAGGGUUCAUAGUAGGAGAGGAAAGGAGAAUUAGACAGUGGUGCAGAGAAGUGGCUGUGACCCUGAAGGUAAUGACAGACCACUAUUUUCCCUGAUUCCUACCUUGCACGAACCUUUCCAUGAGGAUGUGUGUAUUGUUUAUAUAUAUUUUUAAUUUUCUGUAUAUCAUAAUGUUUCUGCAUUUUAAAACCUUUCUGGCUAGGGAGAGACUGCCCCUUCUGUAGCUAAAGGACCGAGCCCAAAGCAUGCCUUUGAUUUGCAAAUUAACCAAUCUGAAUUUGGAUUUGGAACCAAUCAAAUUAACCAAUAUCAGCCCCGUGCACUCCAGGAGGCAAUAUGCCUUUGCCUUAAUCAUCCCAGGGCCAGGUACCAGGCAACUAGGGACCACCCAUACAGCUGGGAGCCCACUGAAAUCAUUCAAACUAGUCAGUCCUAAACUCUUUACCCUGCCACGCCUUGCCUUUCCCUUGGAACCCCCAAUAAAGGGUCUAGCCUCAGCUUUCCCAUCACUCUGCUCCUGCUUUCUGCCUCCUCACUACCCUGAGUCUUCCCCAGGUGGCUCCGUAUUGUGUGCCAGGGACCU